rnacentral:rRNA from 1 species
UACGGGGGGGGCAAGCGUUGUUCGGAAUUACUGGGCGUAAAGGGCUCGUAGGCGGCCAACUAAGUCAGACGUGAAAUCCCCAGGCUCAACCUGGGAACUGCGUCUGAUACUGGAUGGCUUGAAUUCGGGAGAGGGAUGCAGAAUUCCAGGUGUAGCGGUGAAAUGCGUAGAUAUCGUGAGGAAGACCAGUGGCGAAGGCGGGUCUCUGGACAGUUCCUGACGCUGAGGCGCGAAGGCCAGGGGAGCAAACGGG